rnacentral:rRNA from 1 species
UACGAAGGGGGCUAGCGUUGUUCGGAAUUACUGGGCGUAAAGCGCGCGCAGGCGGUUCUUCAAGUCAGUGGUGAAAGCCCGGAGCUCAACUCCGGAAUUGCCAUUGAAACUGUGGAACUUGGGGAUGAGAGAGGUGAGUGGAAUUCCCAGUGUAGAGGUGAAAUUCGUAGAUAUUGGGAAGAACACCGGUGGCGAAGGCGGCUCACUGGCUCAUUUCUGACGCUCAGGCGCGACAGCGUGGGGAUCAAACAGG